rnacentral:lncRNA from 1 species
GGGAGUGACAUUUCUCUCCGUUUUAUUUUUCUUGGGUUUCAGCCCAGAUAUUUUCAGACAUCCUGAUCCCAUGAAGAGAAACCAGUGCACACACACUCGCUCUGAUGACGAGAUGUCUCUGUGCUCUGAGCUGUUAGACAGAGAAAUUAACAGGUUUCUGAAGCCGCCCUCUGCCUCUAAACCCAGAGGUCUACGCUGUGCAGGUGUUAGUCUCACACCCCUGAGAAGACCGAGAGAAAUAUACAGUGUUAGGCUCACACCCCUGAGAAGACGGAGAGAAAUAUACAGUAGGAGAAGUGUUCUUUCCCUUAACAUUCAUAAUGUCUGUGCCACAAUAAACAUCUGUAAACUAC